rnacentral:rRNA from 1 species
UACAGGGGGGGGCAAGCGUUGUUCGGAAUUACUGGGCGUAAAGGGCUCGUAGGCGGCCAACUAAGUCCGACGUGAAAUCCCCAGGCUUAACCUGGGAACUGCGUCGGAUACUGGUUGGCUUGAAUUCGGGAGAGGGAUGCAGAAUUCCAGGUGUAGCGGUGAAAAUGCGUAGAUAUCAGGAGGAAUACCGAUGGCGAAGGCAGCCAUCUGGCCUAACACUGACGCUGAGGUGCGAAAGCAUGGGGAGCAAACAGG